CAAUAAAAUCUAUCCAUUUGUACUAUUAAAAAUUAAUGUGGUUUAUUAAAUAAUCACGCAGUAACACAUGGUGUGCCACAUUUACCUCAUUUUGACGCACAAUGAUAAGUUUUUAAUAAUAAAAAUGGAUGAAAUUUUUAAAA
rnacentral:pre_miRNA from 1 species